CCAAUCUCUCUCCGUUCCCCAACUCCGGCUCAUCCGCCCCCUGGCACGACGGCGUGAGGUAGACCUACCACCGUCCACGACCCCUUCCCCAAUACUGUCCGGGCGGCGGCGGCCUUGGCCCUUGGCUUCGGCGUGGAUCCAAGAUCAACCACCCCAUCCUCGUCGCUCGCCCGUGACAGCCAGGCUCCUCCAACGCAUGCCGCAGCGGCACGAGGAAAAUAUACAAGCGCGCUAAGAGCAGCCUGUAGGAAGCUCGUGCCAGUACGCGGCGGGUGUUGGUUGGCGCUUGCAGGCUGUUCAACCUGUUCUCUGAAGACUUCAGUAUCAACCUUAUUGCAGUGGAUUCUCCACCUCUCCAAUCAGUUGGGCCUGGAUGUUUGACAUUUUGUACUGACGGUGGGCCAUUUCUUCGCUUGAAAUUUUAUUUGGAAGGUAUGGAGAACAACAGAUGGAAAAAAGAAGAAUAUAUUGUGCAGUUGCAGCUAAAGAUGAUUCAUACAAUUGCAUUGCUUGCUGCUCUGUUCAUAAGAAUGUACUUUGUGUUGAACUUAGGUGUUUAUCCCCAUGCUGUCAUUUAUUUCAGUUUUUGAUUGGAGGUGCUUUAUACAGCGGAAAAAAGAUGGUAAAAUAAUUGCUAUUGAUGUAUGCACUAUAAAUGGCGAGGUUUUUGGUCCUCACUAUGCUGGUGUUAUAUGGAGAAGUGCUUUUCACAUAGACUAUACUGGUCUUGAUAAUAACAACUAAAUGUGCCAUGUGCCUAGCAGUAGUAUUUACCACUGUGCAAGGUCCACUUCAGAUUGAGGUGAUAAUGUGUAUCAUGUUUUCUCGUUAUCCCCUAAGCACAAGUGCAAGCAGGAGUACAAUCUCCAUCUGCACGUGAAGGAGGUCAUUGACGCGGCCCUUUGAUGAUGGAGGGCACCAAUUUCUACCGUUGACGAUGACGAAGACCUAAGCGGCAAGCACAAGUUUAAGACCUGGAACGGUAAAGAUCGACAGCGUACAUCCUGGUCUUCAUGGAAUUUGCUGUGAUUACCUUCUCUCUGGUGUUCACUUCAGUUUGUAAUAUUUCAUACUGCCUGUUUAUGGAGUUCGGUACUACUUGCGUUUAAAUCAAUUUGUCAUUCUCUUUUAUUGAGAAAUCUGGCAGCUAAGUUAUUUA